rnacentral:misc_RNA from 1 species
ACCUUACAAUAAUUUCAUUUUAAGAUAUGAGGUUCGAGAGAGAGUCCUUUCCUUGAAUUCCCCAUUUUUCUAAAAUUUUGCAAAAUCUCCUUUUUAUAAUAAUUUCAUAAAAAACAUGGGUUCGGAGAGCUAGGAGCAGGCUAAACUCUAUGGCCUAACUAGGAAGCAAGCCGAUAUCUACGAAAGAGCCAAGAGCAAGUUAAAUUCUAUGGCUGAACUCUAUGGGCAAAUUAAAAUAUAGGCCGAUCUCUCCUAGCUAAAUUUUAUGACCGAAUUCCAUGACCGAUAUCUAUGGACGAACUAGGAAACAAGCCGAUCUCUACAAGAGAGCCAAGAACAGAUUAAACUUUAUUGCCGAACUCUAUGGCAGAUCUCCAUGGGUGAGCUAGGAAGUAAGGAGAGCUCUAUAGGGAUCCGAGCAUUAGGGUACUAAAAUAUCUAGCUCCACUAAUGCUAGAUUUUUAGGAAGAAAAUCAAUCCUGGCCCUUAAUUUUUAGAGAUUAAAUCUUCACCAUCAGAUUAGAGUUGAUUAAAGCAUUUGGGAUACGAUUUGAUCAUCACCAUUAAUCCUAUUUGUAAGAACAAAUCCCGGGCCAUUGAAUUAAAGUAACAAA